rnacentral:rRNA from 1 species
GAUGAACGCUGGCUGCGUGCCUAAUACAUGCAAGUCGAGCGAACGGACGAGAAGCUUGCUUCUCUGAUGUUAGCGGCGGACGGGUGAGUAACACGUGGAUAACCUACCUAUAAGACUGGGAUAACUUCGGGAAACCGGAGCUAAUACCGGAUAAUAUUUUGAACCGCAUGGUUCAAAAGUGAAAGACGGUCUUGCUGUCACUUAUAGAUGGAUCCGCGCUGCAUUAGCUAGUUGGUAAGGUAACGGCUUACCAAGGCAACGAUGCAUAGCCGACCUGAGAGGGUGAUCGGCCACACUGGAACUGAGACACGGUCCAGACUCCUACGGGAGGCAGCAGUAGGGAAUCUUCCGCAAUGGGCGAAAGCCUGACGGAGCAACGCCGCGUGAGUGAUGAAGGUCUUCGGAUCGUAAAACUCUGUUAUUAGGGAAGAACAUAUGUGUAAGUAACUGUGCACAUCUUGACGGUACCUAAUCAGAAAGCCACGGCUAACUACGUGCCAGCAGCCGCGGUAAUACGUAGGUGGCAAGCGUUAUCCGGAAUUAUUGGGCGUAAAGCGCGCGUAGGCGGUUUUUUAAGUCUGAUGUGAAAGCCCACGGCUCAACCGUGGAGGGUCAUUGGAAACUGGAAAACUUGAGUGCAGAAGAGGAAAGUGGAAUUCCAUGUGUAGCGGUGAAAUGCGCAGAGAUAUGGAGGAACACCAGUGGCGAAGGCGACUUUCUGGUCUGUAACUGACGCUGAUGUGCGAAAGCGUGGGGAUCAAACAGGAUUAGAUACCCUGGUAGUCCACGCCGUAAACGAUGAGUGCUAAGUGUUAGGGGGUUUCCGCCCCUUAGUGCUGCAGCUAACGCAUUAAGCACUCCGCCUGGGGAGUACGACCGCAAGGUUGAAACUCAAAGGAAUUGACGGGGACCCGCACAAGCGGUGGAGCAUGUGGUUUAAUUCGAAGCAACGCGAAGAACCUUACCAAAUCUUGACAUCCUUUGACAACUCUAGAGAUAGAGCCUUCCCCUUCGGGGGACAAAGUGACAGGUGGUGCAUGGUUGUCGUCGGCUCGUGUCGUGAGAUGUUGGGUUAAGUCCCGCAACGAGCGCAACCCUUAAGCUUAGUUGCCAUCAUUAAGUUGGGCACUCUAAGUUGACUGCCGGUGACAAACCGGAGGAAGGUGGGGAUGACGUCAAAUCAUCAUGCCCCUUAUGAUUUGGGCUACACACGUGCUACAAUGGACAAUACAAAGGGCAGCGAAACCGCGAGGUCAAGCAAAUCCCAUAAAGUUGUUCUCAGUUCGGAUUGUGGUCUGCAACUCGACUAUAUGAAGCUGGAAUCGCUAGUAAUCGUAGAUCAGCAUGCUACGGUGAAUACGUUCCCGGGUCU